rnacentral:lncRNA from 1 species
GUCCUGAAGAGAUGUAGUUCAGUGGAGGUACCAGGGAAAGGACUCUCUCCAGCCUGCAGGCUGUCACUCCUGCUGGCUGGGCCUGGAUGGUGCCUGAAGGCUGCAGUGGGCUCCUGCUUUCCCAGCUCCUGUGAGCUUUCACUCCUGUUGGAUGGUGCCUUUCAGUCAUUUCUGCUGCUGUAAGUAGCCCAUCACCCACAUUCCUGUUGAAAGCAACCAACAGAAGAAUAUUUCUGUGGCAACUGAAAGUGCCUGACCAACAACACUAACUGGGGGAAGAAGGGUCUACUUUGCCUCACAGUUGGAAGAGAUGCAGUUCACCCUGGUGGGCAGGCAGGGCAGCAGGAGGCACUGAAGCAGCUGGUGAGACUGUGGCUGCAUCCGGAAGCAGAGAAAGAGGAAUCCAGUGCUCAGCUCUGCCAUUGUCUUCCUGACUCAGGCCAGGACCGGUCUGUGGGAUGGCGACACCCUCCUAGACACACCCAAAGAUCAAGACGGCAAUGAAGAUGAACUAAGACAUCAACCAUAGCUGCUCUAUUGUAUGUUACCUAUGUGACUUCUGUGCAAUUAUGUCAGGGCUGAGUGGGUUACAACACAGGGUACACCCAGCCCCCUGGGCAUUUAUUACCUGGCCCUUUAUGGAAAAGAAAAAGUGCGGGCCUCUGUUGUAUGGGAAGGUUUUCAGAGUGCCAGUUAGCUCACUGGAGAUGAGUUAACGGAGCAUGUGAAUAGCCACAGGGAAGGGCUUGCAUGCACCGCAGCUCACUGUGGGUCCCUCCCACUGGCUGUAAGUGUGUGCUUGCAUACCCCGAGCUGUGUGAUUCCUUGGCCUUGUAAGUCCUGGAGGAGAGGCUGGCAGAGGGAAACCCUCCCUCCCUCCCCUCCCUUCAACUUUCCCCGGAGCCGGACUUGGCUCAGCCUUGGUGGUGAUUUCAGUCACCUGCUGGUAACCUGGGCUUUACUCGACUCCCACCGUGCUAUAAACUUCAUAACAUAGAAUGUACAGCCGUUUCCUGUCAGCAGGCUUAUGGUGAUGCAGGUGGUGAUGUGUGUGGUGUAUGUAGAUAGAUGUGUUGUGGGCGUUGGGAGAUGGGGUCAGUGCUCUAGGGUAUUGGGGUUCCUCUAUCACCUCUGCUUGUUUUCUCUGACACAUCAUCUAUCGCUGACCAGGAGUACGCUUCUCUCUCUCUCUCUCUCUCUCUCUUUCUCUCUUUCCCCACCCCCUCUCUCCUAGCUAGCCUCAGAAAUCCUCAUUGUGUACAUAGGUGCUUUACAGACCUGUUUUCACAAGGUCUCUGAAAACUAAACUCUGGUCCUUUUGCUGGUACUGCAAGCUCUCAGAACCACUGAGCCAUCUCUCCAGACCUCACUUAAACCAUUUAAAAAUUAUUAUAUU